rnacentral:rRNA from 1 species
GACGAACGCUGGCGGCGUGCCUAAUACAUGCAAGUAGAACGCUGAAGAGAGGAGCUUACUCUUCUUGGAUGAGUUGCGAACGGGUGAGUAACGCGUAGGUAACCUGCCUUGUAGCGGGGGAUAACUAUUGGAAACGAUAGCUAAUACCGCAUAACAAUGGAUGACACAUGUCAUUUAUUUGAAAGGGGCAAUUGCUCCACUACAAGAUGGACCUGCGUUGUAUUAGCUAGUAGGUGAGGUAAUGGCUCACCUAGGCGACCAUACAUAGCCGACCUGAGAGGGUGAUCGGCCACACUGGGACUGAGACACGGCCCAGACUCCUACGGGAGGCAGCAGUAGGGAAUCUUCGGCAAUAGGGGCAACCCUGACCGAGCAACGCCGCGUGAGUGAAGAAGGUUGUCGGAUCGUAAAGCUCUGUUGUAAGUCAAGAACGGGUGUGAGAGUGGAAAGUUCACACUGUGACGGUAGCUUACCAGAAAGGGACGGCUAACUACGUG